rnacentral:rRNA from 1 species
UGCAAUACUUGGUGUGAAUUGCAGAAUCCCGUGAACCAUCGAGUCUUUGAACGCAAGUUGCGCCCGAAGCCAUUAGGCCGAGGGCACGCCUGCCUGGGUGUCA